rnacentral:rRNA from 1 species
GCGCAGCAGUCGCGAAUCCUCCGCAAUGCACGCAAGUGUGACGGGGGAUUCCAAGUGUUAUUGCAUUUUGUGUGAUAACUUUUCUUAAAUGUAAAUAGUUUGAGGAAUAAGGGCUGGGUAAGACGGGUGCCAGCCGCCGCGGUAAUACCCGCAGCUCAAGUGGUCUGGAGUUUUAUUGGGUCUAAAGCGUUCGUAGCUGGGUCUAUAAGUUCUCUGUGAAAUCUAACGGCUUAACCGUUAGGCGUGCAGAGGAUACUGUGGACCUCGAGACUGGGAUGGGUCAAGGGUACUCUCGGGGUAGGGGUGAAAUCCAAUAAUCCUGAGGGGACCACCUGUGGCGAAGGCGCUUGGCUAGAACAGGUCUGACAGUGAGGGACGAAAGCUAGAGGAGCGAACGGGAUUAGAUACCCGCGUAGU